rnacentral:rRNA from 1 species
UACAGAGGUGGCAAGCGUUGUUCGGAAUUACUGGGCGUAAAGGGCGCGUAGGCGGUUCGAUAAGUCCCGUGUGAAAGCCCCCGGCUCAACUGGGGAACUGCACGGGAAACUGACGGACUUGAGUUCGGGAGAGGGAAGCGGAAUUCCGGGUGUAGCGGUGAAAUGCGUAGAGAUCCGGAAGAACACCGGUGGCGAAGGCGGUCUGCUGGGCAGUUGCUGACACUGAGGCGCGACAGCGUGGGGAGCAAACAGG